rnacentral:rRNA from 1 species
UACGUAGGGGGCAAGCGUUAUCCGGAUUUACUGGGUGUAAAGGGAGCGUAGACGGUAUGGCAAGUCUGAAGUGAAAGCCCAGGGCUUAACCCUGGGACUGCUUUGGAAACUGUUAGACUAGAGUGCUGGAGAGGUAAGUGGAAUUCCUAGUGUAGCGGUGAAAUGCGUAGAUAUUAGGAGGAACACCAGUGGCGAAGGCGGCUUACUGGACAGUAACUGACGUUGAGGCUCGAAAGCGUGGGGGGCAAACAGG